AGCAGCGUGGCUCAGUGGAAAGAGCACGGGCUUGGGGGCCAGAGGUCAUGGGUUCGAAUCCCGGCUCUGCCA
rfam:Ornithorhynchus anatinus chromosome 6, whole genome shotgun sequence.